CUAGAGUGUGUAUUAUAUAAUAUAUUACAGAGUGUACAAUAACACAACUAAAUCUGGAUGCGUUGAGAUGUCAUCAUCCAAAGGAGUGUCAUGGCGAGUUCCCUCCCCUUUUUUUCUAUAACCAACGCCUUUCCGACCUUCCUGUUCAAUGUAAUUGUUAUGUAAAUUAUGUACUUUCACGAUAGAGUUCCUGUUUUCCUCGUAGCCGCUCUUUGUGACGUGUGGGAGACUAGUAAGUAGUUCUUUGUCCAAAAUACAUCUCCAACCAGUCUUUCUCUUCAUUACAGUAUACAAAUGUUGCUUGACUGGCAAACAAAAAAUU